CUGCGAGGUAAACAGAGGCGUGUGGGGUGUGACCUUGUCGGAGGCUGCGAUACCCAAUCGCAGGCAAGUGUAAACCCCCGAGAAAAGCUGCUUGGCACAUGUACUGUCAACCAGCGAGGAGUGGCAAUUUACACCUGGAGAGGAGUUGCUGUGUUUCUUACCAUUCAACUGAAAAGCGAAGCAAAGACCCCAGUAAAUGAUUUCACAGUGCCGUUGUACUCCCAAAGUUGUCUAUUGAUUGCGUGGUGUAGUUUGACUCCCAGCACAGAACAAACACAACAGGCAUCAGUGAGAGGAUUUGGGAUCUUUUCCCUGCUCCACAAUCGUUGGAUUAAAAUAGAGUUUAAGCUCUAAGUAGAUCGG